AAAACUACUGAUGAGACACUCUACAUGGUUUCAUAACAAGACUUUGAAAUGUUGUGUGUGAAUUUUACACUUCCAGCAUAUCUCAUUUUGGACUAGCCAUAUUUCAAGAGCUCAACAGCCACAUGCUAUCAAUGGCUACCACAUUAAAGUCUCCAAGUCUAGAUGGAAAAUAAACAAGCAAACCUAUAAACACAGUUAAUAGAAUUUAUCCUCUGAGCUACUUUCUCCAUGAAGAGCUCCUGGGGUUACAUAUCCUCCCUUCACAGUAAUCCCUCCUUUCCUCACAUCCCUCACCAUUGCCUACUCUGUCACUAUCAGCCCACUCUGGGUAUGCUGAGUAGAAGAUGACAGAUUGCUUUCAGUUUGUUUCAUUUUUGUUUUUGUGUCUCACAAGUUAAAGUAGAGGUCAGGGCCUGACUUCUGUUAGUAUUUGAUAGACUGCAGGUUUCUUGGAGGAGGGAAUUUGUAUUGUUUCUACCCACAUUUUUCAGUGUGAUAGCACAUAAGUACCCAAUAAAUGUUUACUCAAAUAAUGGA